GACGAACGCUGGCGGCGUGCUUAACACAUGCAAGUCGAGCGGUAAGGCCCUUUCGGGGGUACACGAGCGGCGAACGGGUGAGUAACACGUGGGUGACCUGCCCUUAGCUCUGGGAUAAGCCUGGGAAACUGGGUCUAAUACCGGAUAUGACUCCAUGACGCAUGUUGUGGGGUGGAAAGCCUUGUGCGGCUAGGGAUGGGGCCCGGCCGGCCUAUCAGCUUGUUGGUGGGGUGAUGGCCUACCAAGGCGACGACGGGUAGCCGGCCUGAGAGGGCGACCGGCCACACUGGGACUGAGACACGGCCCAGACUCCUACGGGAGGGCANCAGGUGGGGAAUCUUGCGCAAUGGGCGAAAGCCUGACGCAGCGACGCCGCGUGA
rnacentral:rRNA from 1 species